UAAGGAAUAUUGGUCAAUGGACGAAAGUCUGAACCAGCCAUGCCGCGUGCAGGAUGACUGCCCUAUGGGUUGUAAACUGCUUUUAUAUAGGAAGAAAAACUUUCUCGUGAGAAAGCUUGACGGUACUAUAAGAAUAAGGAUCGGCUAACUCCGUGCCAGCAGCCGCGGUAAUACGGAGGAUCCAAGCGUUAUCCGGAAUCAUUGGGUUUAAAGGGUCCGUAGGUGGACAAAUAAGUCAGAGGUGAAAUCCUGCAGCUCAACUGUAGAACUGCCUUUGAUACUGUUUGUCUUGAGUUAUUAUGAAGUGGUUAGAAUGUGUAGUGUAGCGGUGAAAUGCAUAGAUAUUACACAGAAUACCGAUUGCGAAGGCAGAUCACUAAUAAUCAACUGACACUGAUGGACGAAAGCGUGGGUAGCGAACAGG
rnacentral:rRNA from 3 species